UACGGAGGGUGCAAGCGUUGUCCGGAUUUAUUGGGUUUAAAGGGUGCGUAGGCGGCCCGUUAAGUCAGUGGUGAAAGCCUCCAGCUCAACUGGAGAACUGCCAUUGAUACUGGCGGGCUUGAGUACAGACGAGGUUGGCGGAAUUGAUUGUGUAGCGGUGAAAUGCUUAGAUAUCGUCAAGAACACCUAUAGCGAAGGCAGCUUACUAGGCUGUAACUGGCGCUGAGGCACGAAAGUGUGGGGAUCAAACAGG
rnacentral:rRNA from 1 species